rnacentral:misc_RNA from 1 species
UUUCCGUAGGUGAACCUGCGGAAGGAUCAUUAAUGAGUUGUCAUGGGGUUCGAUGCUGGCAGCCAAUUUUUGGAUGCAUGUGCUUGCCCUAACAAUCAUCUUCCAAACACCUGUGCGCAUUUUUGAGGGAGUCUUGAGUUGGUUGCCGCUCUUGGGUGAUUUUCUCACAUUCCCUUAAAUCAUUAUACGCUAUUAACAAUGUUGAACGUGCUCUGUGCCGCAAGGCUAUUAAUAUAAUACAACUUUUAACAACGGAUCUCUUGGCUCUCGCAUCGAUGAAGAACGCGC